rnacentral:rRNA from 1 species
GACGGAGGAUGCAAGCGUUAUCCGGAAUUAUUGGGCGUAAAGCGUCCGCAGGUGGCUGUUCAAGUCUGCUGUCAAAGCGCAGAGCUUAACUCUGUACAGGCGGUGGAAACUGAAGAGCUAGAGUAUGAUAGGGGUAGAGGGAAUUCCCGGUGUAGCGGUGAAAUGCGUAGAUAUCGGGAAGAACACCAGUGGCGAAAGCGCUCUACUGGGCCAUAACUGACACUGAGGGACGAAAGCUAGGGGAGCGAAAGGG